rnacentral:rRNA from 1 species
UUUUCGUCAAUGGGCGCAAGCCUGAACGAGCGAUGCCGCGUGAGUGAAGAAGGCCUUCGGGUNGUAAAGCUCUGUUGCGGGGGAANNNNNNNANCAUCAGGAAAUGGGUGCUGACUGAUGGUGCCCCGCCNNNANGNCACGGCUAACUACGUGCCAGCAGCGGCGGUAAUACGGAGGUGGCGAGCGUUAUCCGGGAUGAUUGGGCGUAAAGGGUGCGCAGGCGGUCCUGCAAGUCUGGAGUGAAACGCAUGAGCUCAACUCAUGCAUGGCUUUGGAAACUGGAGGACUGGAGAGCAGGAGAGGGCGGUGGAACUCCAUGUGUAGCGGUAAAAUGCGUAGAUAUAUGGAAGAACACCAGUGGCGAAGGCGGCCGCCUGGCCUGUUGCUGACGCUGAGGCACGAAAGCGUGGGGAGCAAAUAGGA